AUGGGGAUAUAGCUCAGCUGGGAGAGCGCCUGCCUUGCACGCAGGAGGUCAGCGGUUCGAUCCCGCUUAUCUCCAC
rnacentral:tRNA from 1 species